rnacentral:rRNA from 1 species
GUGAACAUACCUAUACGUUGCCUCGGCGGAUCAGCCCGCGCCCCGUAAAAAGGGACGGCCCGCCCGAGGACCCCUAAACUCUGUUUUUAGUGGAACUUCUGAGUAAAACAAACAAAUAAAUCAAAACUUUCAACAACGGAUCUCUUGGUUCUGGCAUCGAUGAAGAACGCAGCAAAAUGCGAUAAGUAAUGUGAAUUGCAGAAUUCAGUGAAUCAUCGAAUCUUUGAACGCACAUUGCGCCCGCCAGUAUUCUGGCGGGCAUGCCUGUUCGAGCGUCAUUUCAACCCUCAAGCUCAGCUUGGUGUUGGGACUCGCGGUAACCCGCGUUCCCCAAAUCGAUUGGCGGUCACGUCGAGCUUCCAUAGCGUAGUAAUCAUACACCUCGUUACUGGUAAUCGUCGCGGCCACGCCGUAAAACCCCAACUUCUGAAUGUUGACCUCGGAUCAGGUAGGAAUACCCGCUGAACUUAA